rnacentral:misc_RNA from 1 species
UCCGGUUCAUCACCAGCAGUCUCUUUAGAGUCCCCACCAUGACGUGAUGGCAACUAAAGAUAAGGGUUGCGCUCGUUACGGGACUUAACCCAACAUCUCACAACACGAGCUGACGACAGCCAUGCAGCACCUGUCUCUAGGUUCCUUUCGGCACUCCUACAUCUCUGUAAGAUUCCUAGGAUGUCAAGGGUAGGUAAGGUUCUUCGCGUUGCAUCGAAUUAAACCACAUGCUCCACCGCUUGUGCGGGCCCCCGUCAAUUCCUUUGAGUUUUAACCUUGCGGUCGUACUCCCCAGGCGGAAAACUUAUCGCGUUAGCUUCGAUACUAAGCAGUCAUGCUGCCCAACAUCUAGUUUUCAUCGUUUACAGCGUGGACUAC